rnacentral:rRNA from 1 species
GGAUGGGUCUGCGGCGGAUUAGGUUGUUGCCGGUGUAACGUACCAGCAAGCCUGUAAUCCGUACGGGUUGUGGGAGCAAGAGCCCGGAGAUGGAUUCUGAGACACGAAUCCAGGCCCUACGGGGCGCAGCAGGCGCGAAAACUCUACAAUGCAGGCAACUGCGAUAGGGGAACAUCGAGUGGCAUCCACCGUGGAUGUCUGUCCAAUCGUCUAAAAAACGAUGUCAGCAAGGGCCGGGCAAGACCGGUGCCAGCCGCCGCGGUAAUACCGGCGGCUCGAGUGGUGGCCGAUAUUAUUGAGUCUAAAGGGUCCGUAGCCGGCUUUGCAAGUCCUAUGGGAAAUCCGGCGGCUUAACCGUUGGGCUUUCAUGGGAUACUACAUUGCUUGGGACUGGGAGAGGUAGGAGGUACUCAGGGGGUAGGGGUGAAAUCCUGUAAUCCUUUGGGGACCACCGGUGGCGAAGGCGUCCUACCAGAACAGGUCCGACGGUGAGGGACGAAAGCUAGGGGCACGAACCGGAUUAGAUACCCGGGUAGUCCUAGCCGUAAACGAUGCUCGCUAGGUGUCA